CUCCUGCCCAGCCCUAAGGCCCCUCAGCCACUUGCCCUGUUCGCCUUCUCUCCUGCUUUCCUCCUGGCCAGCAAUCUAAGCUGCUAGAGCUCCUUCUCUCCCUGCCUCUCAGCUGAUUGGCAGGUGGGCAGGGCUUCCAGAGAGGGCUCCGUGCAGGCCUCCCUGAAGCCUGAACUCGAGUAGGCCGGCAGGCCCCAAGCAAGCAAGGAAGGAGGCAGGCAGAAUGGCCACCACAGUUCUCUGCAGCAGACCCUCUGCCCAGGCCAGCCAGCCCAGCCUUUGCCAGGUACAAGAAAGGAAAUUCUGGAAAGGAGAUAUGGAAGACCUGCACAGAGCUCCCAAAGUCUGUAAUGGCCCAGCAUGCGUGCUUGAUCAUGUGCCCACAUCAAGAAAAGAGAGGGGGUAGGGAAGAUGAAAAAUACUGUAUCCAGAUAUUCAAUCCCUUUUGAUACAAAGUACCACCAUAAAGCUCCAGCUAUCUGUAACAGAAAAGAAAAGAAUGCUAGUACAAAGAUUUCCAGAACCAUGUGGCAAUAUAUGCACAUGCAUGAUGAAGCAGAAUUCACCUUGAAGAAAACUAUGCGUUUUCAUCUUUUAAAAUGACCAUGUGGACGACACCACAUCCAUCUAGUCCAGGUUCCUCACUGCAAGGCCUGGGAAUCAGUAGUAGCUCCCUGACUAACAGUUUGUUAGGUCUGUGUGAAGCUUUGCUGAAGUUGGAUACUCCACACAGCCCCACUGACAUUAUGCAAAGGCACCCUUCACCAUCCAAUGCCAUGUUGCUAGUGCUAGGAUCCAGUGAGAAGAAACAGUUGAGGAAAUCUUCUAGGAAAGGGGGAGUGUUAACAAUCAAAGCAAGGGUUAAAGCAGUCUGUGUGGUCUAUUGCCAGGCACCCAGCCUUGCUAUUCAGAGGAUCAGGAAAAGGGAACAGAGGGAAGCUACACAGGUAGGCUGAGGAGUAUUGGGAGUGGCUAAUGUUGAACCAGUUCUUGGGGUGCAGUACAGAGACUUGAACAUGAUGGGACCUUUGAGCUUUCAUCACCUUAAAAGCGGACAGUAGGAACUAAGACAAAAGAAUAUUGUAACAACUGAGCAUAGUAACAUUUGGAACUGUUCUGAAUUCUUGGAUUCCUGAAGCAAUUUUCAGCUGUACGUGUCUUAUCAACUGAAUGAUGCUAUCACCACUCUACAUUAUCAACAAAAUGACAUUACCUCUGUACUUCAGAUAAUAGCCAAGAUUAAAAAAAAUUCCAACAUACAAUAUUCUAGUAUAUAAUUCUUUUCUGUCUUCAAUCCCCAGCCCAGCACAGAAUUCAUCAGGGGUUAUUUGUACAUCCAUAAGACUAGACUGUUUGUGACCAUUCCCCUGGGGAGCCAGAGAGAACCCUCCUCUGUGUAAACUACUAUCUAUCUCUAUUGAGAUAUCGCUAUGGUUUAGAACAGGGCUGCACAACUUCAGCCAUCUGGCUGUUGUUGGAUCACAACUACAGUGACAAGUGGCCACUGUGCCAAGGGAUUAUGGGAGUUCUAGUCCAAGACAGUUGGAGGGCCAAGUUGUGCAACCCUGCUUUAAACAUCUGGGAUGCGGGGAUGAGAGAACAAGACUGAAAGGUUGUGCACACGACCAAAGAUGCUGGCGGAGUGGAGUUUUCUUUAGAGGCUCUGCCACUCGCAUGGCACAUGAGCCACACUGCAGUGAGUGGCAGAGCAGGGAGCCAGAGCAGGAAGUCCUCCCUCAAUGUACCGCGCCAGGAGUGCGGUGCAUUGAAGGAUCCUCCCUCAGCUGGGCACUCUUGCCACCUGACUCUGUGUAUGUGUGGGCUGCCUGCAGUAUGAGCCCACACAUGACCCCAGUGCUGGGGUUAAGGACGGGCUCACGCCCUGAACUCUGGCUAAAGGCCAGGGUAAAAUGUUGUGUUAGGUGGAUAUUUUUUGUUCCUUUUUGUAACCUAAACUCAUGACCAAAAGGUAGUUGAGGGACCUGAGAAAUUUUCAGAUUGGAUCAAAGGGAUCACAACUUAACAAAUACUGCCUACU